GACGAACGCUGGCGGCGUGCUUAACACAUGCAAGUCGAACGGAAAGGCCCCUUUGGGGGUGCUCGAGUGGCGAACGGGGGAGUAACACGUGAGUAACCUGCCCUUGCCUUCGGGAUAACUUCAGGCAACUGGGGCUAAUACAGGACAGGAAUCCUUGCUGCAUGGUGGGGGUGGGAAAGCUUCGGCGGUUUUGGAUGGACUCGCGGCUUUUCAGCUUGCUGGUGGGGUAGGGGCUUACCAAGGAUUUGACGGGUAGGCGGCCUGAGAGGGCGACCGGCCACAUUGGGUCCUGGGCUACGCCCAGACUCCUACGGGGAGCAGCAGGGGGGAAGUUUUCACAAUGGGCCGGAGCCUGAUGCAGCAAACCCGCGGGCGGGAUGGCGGCCUUCGGGUUGUGAACCGCUUUCAGCAGGGGCGGAGCUUGUGGUGACGGUACCUGCUGAAGAAGCACCGGCUAACUACGUG
rnacentral:rRNA from 1 species